rnacentral:rRNA from 1 species
CAAUAGCGUAUAUUUAAGUUGCUGCAGUUAAAAAGCUCGUAGUUGGAUUUCGGGUGGGAAUGGCCGGUCCGCCGUUUCGGUGUGCACUUGCUACGCCCACCUUGCUGCCGGGGACGUGCUCUUGAGUUCACGCUCGGGACACGGAGUCGGCGAGGUUACUUUGAGUAAAUUAGAGUGUUCAAAGCAGGCCUACGCUCUGAAUACAUUAGCAUGGAAUAACACGAUAGGACUCUGGCCUAUCUUGUUGGUCUGUAGGACCGGAGUAAUGAUUAAGAGGGACAGUCGGGGGCAUUCGUAUUUCAUUGUCAGAGGUGAAAUUCUUGGAUUGAUGAAAGACGAACUACUGCGAAAGCAUUUGCCAAGGAUGUUUUCAUUAA